UACGGGGGGGGCAAGCGUUGUUCGGAAUUACUGGGCGUAAAGGGCUCGUAGGCGGCCAACUAAGUCAGACGUGAAAUCCCUCGGCUUAACCGGGGAACUGCAUCUGAUACUGGAUGGCUUGAGAUCGGGAGAGGGAUGCGGAAUUCCAGGUGUAGCGGUGAAAUGCGUAGAUAUCUGGAGGAACACCGGUGGCGAAGGCGGCAUCCUGGACCGACACUGACGCUGAACAGCGAAAGCCAGGGGAGCAAGCGGG
rnacentral:rRNA from 1 species